rfam:Sorghum bicolor cultivar BTx623 chromosome 1, whole genome shotgun sequence.
AAGCUGGAAGAUGAUGAGCUAGUCUCGUAUAUCCUGACUGGUCUCGACCUCGAUUAUGACCCGGUGGUGUCAGCCGUCGCUGCCAGGGUGGAACCAAUCUCUGUUGGGGAGCUUUUCACCCAACUGACCAGCUUUGAGC